GAGUUUUUAUGAUUCAGAAUUUUAACUUUUUCCGUAGAACUUUUUAUUUUGUACUUAAAACACAUCUUGAUGUGAAAAUCUUUAUAUGAAUAAAAUGAGAUAUUUUCUUUUAUCUAUUCAAACUUUAUCUCAAAGUCUUAUAAUGCAUUCUGAUUUGCCAUGUGUGUGUGUGUGUGUGUGUAUUCUCUCCAUUUGAUAAGACUGAC
rnacentral:lncRNA from 1 species